rnacentral:misc_RNA from 1 species
UCCGGUUUGUCACCGGCAGUCUCCUUAGAGUGCCCUUGCGUAGCAACUAAGGACAAGGGUUGCGCUCGUUGCGGGACUUAACCCAACAUCUUACGACACGAGCUGACGACAGCCAUGCAGCACCUGUCUCCAUGUCCCCGAAGGGAAAACCACAUCUCUGUGGCGAUCAUGGGAUGUCAAACCUGGGUAAGGUUCUUCGCUUACCAUCGAAUUAAACAACACGCUCCACCGCUUGUGCGGGUCCCCGUCAAUUCCUUUAUGUUUUAAGCUUGCGCUCGUACUCCACAGGCGGGAUGCUUAACGCGUUAGCUUCGCUACAAGAGGGGUCGAUACCUCUUACAGCUAGCAUCCAUAGUUUACGGCGUGGACUAC